rnacentral:rRNA from 1 species
GACAGAGGAUGCAAGCGUUAUCCGGAAUUAUUGGGCGUAAAGCGUCCGCAGGUGGCACCUCAAGUCUGCUGUCAAAGACCGGGGCUUAACCCCAGAAAGGCAGUGGAAACUGAAGUGCUAGAGUGCAGUAGGGGUAGAGGGAAUUCCCGGUGUAGCGGUGAAAUGCGUAGAGAUCGGGAAGAACAUCGGUGGCGAAAGCGCUCUGCUGGACUGCAACUGACACUCAGGGACGAAAGCUAGGGGAGCGAAUGGG